GGGGAGUUAGCUCAGUGGUAGAGCGUUUGCUUAGCCAUGUAAGAGGUCAUGGGUUCGAUACCCAUACUCUCCA
rnacentral:tRNA from 1 species